AUUGAACGCUGGCGGCAGGCUUAACACAUGCAAGUCGAGCGGAGACUUCGGUCUUAGCGGCGAACGGGUGAGUAAUACCUAGGAAUCUGCCUAUUAGUGGGGGAUAACGAAUCGAAAGGUUCGCUAAUACCGCAUACGUCCUACGGGAGAAAGGGGGGAUCUUCGGACCUCUCGCUAAUAGAUGAGCCUAGGCCGGAUUAGCUAGUUGGUAGGGUAAAGGCCUACCAAGGCGACGAUCUGUAGCUGGUCUGAGAGGAUGGCCAGCCACACUGGAACUGAGACACGGUCCAGACUCCUACGGGAGGCAGCAGUGGGGAAUAUUGGACAAUGGGGGCAACCCUGAUCCAGCCAUGCCGCGUGUGUGAAGAAGGCCUCGGUU
rnacentral:rRNA from 1 species